GUGGAUAACCUCCCCCGGGGAUGGGCAUAGCCGUUCUAACGGACGGGUAAUUCCCAGCGAUUCGGUGAGGGGGCAUCUCCUUACCGGGAAAUGAGUUUCGCCUCGGGAGGGGUCCACGUGCUAUUAGCUAGUUGGCGGGGUAACGGCCCACCAAGGCUAAGAUGGCUAGCGGGUGUGAGAGCACGACCCGCGCCACUGGCACUGAGACACUGGCCAGACACCUACGGGUGGCUGCAGUCGAGGAUCUUCGUCAAUGGGCGCAAGCCUGAACGAGCGACGCCGCGUGUGGGAUGAAGGCCUUCGGGUUGUAAACCACUGUCGAGGGGGAGAAAGGCGCAAGCUUGAUCGACCCCUGGAGGAAGGACGGGCUAAGUUCGUGCCAGCAGCCGCGGUAAGACGAACCGUCCUAACGUUGUUCGGAAUCACUGGGCUUAAAGGGCGCGUAGGCGGCCUUGAAAGUCGGGGGUGAAAUCCCACGGCCUAACCGUGGAAGUGCCUCCGAUACUGCAAGGCUC
rnacentral:rRNA from 1 species